ensembl:snoRNA
CUGGCCCUGAAUCAAGGCUGGCAGCUUCCUGAGAUGUCUUUCUAUGGUCUGUUGGCCAUUUCAGAACUUGGGCAGUGAAAUAGUCAAUUCAUUAGAAAGAAGCCCCC